AGCAGUCGCCACGGGAAUACAGAGGGUGCAAGCGUUAAUCGGAAUUACUGGGCGUAAAGCGCGCGUAGGUGGUUUGUUAAGUUGGAUGUGAAAGCCCCGGGCUCAACCUGGGAACUGCAUCCAAAACUGGCAAGCUAGAGUACGGUAGAGGGUGGUGGAAUUUCCUGUGUAGCGGUGAAAUGCGUAGAUAUAGGAAGGAACACCAGUGGCGAAGGCGACCACCUGGACUGAUACUGACACUGAGGUGCGAAAGCGUGGGGAGCAAACAGGAUUAGAUACCCCGGUAGUCCCUGUCUCUUAUAC
rnacentral:rRNA from 1 species